GACGUAGGGGGCGAGCGUUGUCCGGAAUUAUUGGGCGUAAAGAGCGCGUAGGCGGUCCGGUAAGUCGGUUGUGAAAGUCGGGGGGCUCAACCCUCGGAUGCCGAUCGAUACUGUCGGGCUAGAGUCCGGAAGAGGCGAGUGGAAUUCCUGGUGUAGCGGUGAAAUGCGCAGAUAUCAGGAGGAACACCGGUGGUGUAGACGGCUCACUGGACCAUAACUGACGCUGAGACACGAAAGCGUGGGUAGCAAACAGG
rnacentral:rRNA from 1 species